AGAGUUUGAUCAUGGCUCAGGAUGAACGCUAGCUACAGGCUUAACACAUGCAAGUCGAGGGGCAGCAUGUUGGUUGCUUGCAACCAAAUGAUGGCGACCGGCGCACGGGUGAGUAACGCGUAUCCAACCUACCCUUGUCCAUCGGAUAACCCGUCGAAAGGCGGCCUAACACGAUAUGCGGUUCUCAGCAGGCAUCUAACGAGAACGAAAUGUGAAGGAGAAGGAUGGGGAUGCGUCUGAUUAGCUUGUUGGCGGGGUAACGGUCCACCAAGGCGACGAUCAGUAGGGGUUCUGAGAGGAAGGUCCCCCANAUUGGAACUGAGACACGGUCCAAACUCCUACGGGAGGCA
rnacentral:rRNA from 1 species